CCCUUAGAUGUUCUGGGCUGCACGCGCGCUACACUGACGCACGCAACAGGUGCCUGCUCCGAGAGGACUGGGUAAUCAUUUGAGUGUGCGUCGUGAUGGGGAUAGAAUAUUGUAAUUAUUACUCUUCAACGAGGAAUUCCUAGUAAGCGUCAGUCAGCAGCUUGCGCUGAUUACGUCCCUGCCCUUUGUACACACCGCCCGUCGCUCCUACCGAUGGGUGAUCCGGUGAAUGAUUCGGACUUCAGCGGCUCCCCUGGGGUGCGCCGGAGAAAGUUUUGUGAACCUUAUCACUUGGAGGAAGGAGAAGUCGUAACA
rnacentral:rRNA from 1 species